GUCAUAUCGACGUCUUUUGUAGAUGAUUUUAAAUACGUAAGAUUAAUGACGUUAAAAUACGUUUAAAAGACGUUUUUAUUUCAGCCAGCCUAAGUCUGACGUCACGAAAUUGGGAGGAGCUUGGAGCUUAAAAGUUACAAAACUAAGGUUAUGUUUGUAUCGUUGUCGUUUGUUUAUCCUAGUCCUAGUAUUUUGCCUAUUUUGGAUUCAUUUGGAUUUUGUUGGCUGUUUUGUGUGUAUUUUUUAAAACUUUUGUUUGUUAUUUGUAAAUUUUAUAAAUUUACCACAAUGCAAAGUGAUUACCUAUUUAAGGAAAUUAUUAUUGGAAACUCCUCAGAUGUUUUAGAAAGAAUUCAUUGAAGCUGAAAAUAAUUGGAGAUUUAGAUCCAUAUACAAUUCAGUCAUCAGAAUUGGAUUUUACAGUGCAUUCCAUCAAUUACUGUUAUAAUGCUAUUAUAGAUAGAUUGGUAGAGUCUCACAGUUACUACUUUAAGCAGCAGAUGAAAGCAUAUAAAAGCCUUCAGGCACAUAAAAGCCUUCACAACUGGAUUUGUUUUGAAACAUUUGAUGUUUUGAUGAUUUUUAUAUUAUUGUUGGAAAGGUGAAGAAUUCCCAAAAAGCUAAUGCUAAACCACUAGAUGCUUGGGUGAUAGCCAGUUCCAAUGGCAUAGCAAAUGCACAUUGUAUGUGUAUUGCCGGUAAUAGUGAAGUUUGCAGCCAUAUUGCAGCAAUCUUAUUUGCAGCUGAGUAUGCCCACAGCAAGACAGAAGAAGAAGAACCCAAUGCAUGUACAUAUGUUACAGCCAUGGACGUAUAAAUAAAGAUAUUUAUAUACGUCUUUAUUUAUACGUCCAUGGUUACAGCUAUGUACAUUCUCUGGUGAAAAACUAAUGAGUUUUCAAGCUGUUCAGUCAGAGUGCUUGUUGCGCUCUCUAAACGAACUGCAAUAUAAGACGGCUUUGUCUUCAUGUUGCAGCGAUAUGAAAAUUGUUAGUCAUUUUUAAUUAUAAUGUACUUCUUCAUCAUGAGUAUUUAUGUAUAGGGCUUUUCAUUCACAGUCAUUUGUUUCGAGCUUCUGUCAUGUGUCACAUAAUAUUAAUAUUAUAUCUACAUCAUACGUUAUUGGUAUAUACCAAUGAUACACACCAAAGACAUAUCGCGUAGAUAUAUUAAUAUUAUGUGACACAUGACAGAUGCUCGAAACAAAUGACAGUCGAUAAAAAGCCCUAUUAGUCUUUUAAGUGUGUAUUAUCAGAUAUCACAUGUAAAUUGUUUUUAUCAUUUUAAUUUGGUCAUUACAGUCCCUUAAUCAAAAAAUAUAUUUUUCAGGUGUCUGUGGAUCUUUUUGUAUGCAAAAAUUUGUAAUAAUUAUUUGAAAUCAUUUUGAGGAUUAUAAGAGUAUGGAAAUAUAAAUGUGAGAACACAGACUAUUAUAGUUUUGUCCUAUUUUUUAUCAUUCAAUCGCCUUCUUUAAAAUUUAUAAAUAUAAAGCAGAUAGUUUUCAUUGAAAUUCAAUAUAUUGGGUCUUAUUUGUAUGUAUUUAUUUUUGACUAAAGGUACGACUCCGAUAACGACUGCAGACAGCACCUGCAAACAUCAGUUGCAGUUCUCGGCGUUAUGGACGUUACUACUUUGCACUAUUUAUCUGUACGAGACUGAUUCCGACAUCUGACUGCAACUGCUAUCCGGCAGAACGUCAGUUGCUAAUAAUUAUGCAAAUUAUUAGUGCAAAAUAAUGACGUCUGUCAUGGUGACAACUGUAACUGCCAUCUGCAGUCGUUGUCAGAAUCGUACCUUUAAAAUGUGUGGUAUAAUUAUAAUAAUUAUAUAUAUUAUAUAUAUUAUAUAACUUAAAUGGUUUAAACUUAAGUUUGUUAUUACAUUGUGACUUAAAUGUUUAAUUUGUUAAUAAAUGAUUUAUUAGUUUA